AUGGGGGGUUUUGGUCCUGGCUCGGGAGGAACGGGGGCGGCGUGCCUAAUACAUGCAAGUAGAACGCUGAAGAGAGGAGCUUGCUCUUCUUGGAUGAGUUGCGAACGGGUGAGUAACGCGUAGGUAACCUGCCUUGUAGCGGGGGAUAACUAUUGGAAACGAUAGCUAAUACCGCAUAACAAUGGAUGACACAUGUCAUUUAUUUGAAAGGGGCAAUUGCUCCACUACAAGAUGGACCUGCGUUGUAUUAGCUAGUAGGUGAGGUAAUGGCUCACCUAGGCGACGAUACAUAGCCGACCUGAGAGGGUGAUCGGCCACACUGGGACUGAGACACGGCCCAGACUCCUACGGGAGGCAGCAGUAGGGAAUCUUCGGCAAUGGGGGCAACCCUGACCGAGCAACGCCGCGUGAGUGAAGAAGGUUCGGAUCGUAAAGCUCUGUUGUAAGUCAAGAACGGGUGUGAGAGUGGAAAGUUCACACUGUGACGGUAGCUUACCAGAAAGGGACGGCUAACUACGUGCCAGCAGCCGCGGUAAUACGUAGGGCCCCAGCCUUUUCCGGAUUUAUUGGGCGUAAAGCGAGCGCAGGCGGUUUGAUAAGUCUGAAGUUAAAGGCUGUGGCUCAACCAUAGUUCGCUUUGGAAACUGUCAAACUUGAGUGCAGAAGGGGAGAGUGGAAUUCCAUGUGUAGCGGUGAAAUGCGUAGAUAUAUGGAGGAACACCGGUGGCGAAAGCGGCUCUCUGGUCUGUAACUGACGCUGAGGCUCGAAAGCGUGGGGAGCGAACAGGAUUAGAUACCCUGGUAGUCCACGCCGUAAAAGAUGAGUGCUAGGUGUUGGAUCCUUUCCGGGAUUCAGUGCCGCAGCUAACGCAUUAAGCACUCCGCCUGGGGAGUACGACCGCAAGGUUGAAACUCAAAGGAAUUGACGGGGGCCCGCACAAGCGGUGGAGCAUGUGGUUUAAUUCGAAGCAACGCGAAGAACCUUACCAGGUCUUGACAUCCCGAUGCUAUUUCUAGAGAUAGAAAGUUACUUCGGUACAUCGGUGACAGGUGGUGCAUGGUUGUCGUCAGCUCGUGUCGUGAGAUGUUGGGUUAAGUCCCGCAACGAGCGCAACCCCUAUUGUUAGUUGCCAUCAUUCAGUUGGGCACUCUAGCGAGACUGCCGGUAAUAAACCGGAGGAAGGUGGGGAUGACGUCCCCUUAUGACCUGGGCUACACACGUGCUACAAUGGUUGGUACAACGAGUUGCGAGUCGGUGACGGCGAGCUAAUCUCUUAAAGCCAAUCUCAGUUCGGAUUGUAGGCUGCAACUCGCCUACAUGAAGUCGGAAUCGCUAGUAAUCGCGGAUCAGCACGCCGCGGUGAAUACGUUCCCGGGCCUUGUACACACCGCCCGUCACACCACGAGAGUUUGUAACACCCGAAGUCGGUGAGGUAACCUUUUGGAGCCAGCCGCCUAAGGUGGGACAGAUGAUUGGGGUGAAGUCGUAACAAGGUAGCCGUAUCGGAAGGUGCGGCUGGAUCAC
rnacentral:rRNA from 1 species